rfam:Oryza sativa (indica cultivar-group) chromosome 2, whole genome shotgun sequence.
UUUAGGUGCUACCAUAAUUUUCCGCGUUCAACUUUGAUCAUCCGUCUUAUUUAAAAAUUUUUUAUAAUUAGUAUUUUUUUUGUUAUGCAAUGAUAAAACAUGAAUAGUACUUUAUUUGCGACUUAUGUUUUUAAUUUUUUUUAAAUAAGACGGACGAUUAAAAUUGGACGCGGAAAACCAUAGCUGUACUUAAA